rnacentral:rRNA from 1 species
AUGCCAAAUCUUCUCCAUGUCAUCCCAGUUGCUUACGAUUCCGUGCUCAAUGGGGUACUUCAAAGUCAGGAUACCCCUCUUGGAUUGGGCCUCAUCACCAACAUAAGCAUCCUUCUGCCCCAUCCCUACCAUAACACCAGUGUGGCGUGGACGGCCAACAAUACUAGGGAAAACAGCACGUGGAGCAUCGUCUCCGGCAAAGCCAGCCUAUGA